rnacentral:misc_RNA from 1 species
AUGUAGAUUAGUUAUUUUUACACUUGCUAAAAGAGGCAUUACAAAGGCGUAAUGAACACGACUCUAGUGUCCAGGGAAGAAGCAGUUGUAAUCAUUAUCCAGAAAUUAAAAACCCUUUUCUCCAAGUAUUUCAAGCAAUGACUUCUUAACACCAGAUUUGUAGCAAGAUCAAAGUUCUGAGGUGAAGGAGAAACUAAUUCCCAGGUUUUGAGAUCACGCAAUAACUAAGAAGGCAGCUGCACAGGGUGUUAGUGGAUGAGUUGAGUUGCUAUCGUAAAAAUUAAAACG